rnacentral:rRNA from 1 species
GAUGAACGCUGGCGGCGUGCCUAAUACAUGCAAGUCGAACGAGGUGCUUUUGUAGCAAUACGAGAGUAUCCUAGUGGCGAACGGGUGAGUAACGCGUUGGUGACCUACCCCAAAGUGUGGGAUAACAGUCCGAAAGGACUGCUAAUACCGCAUGUGGUUAUUGGAUCUAGAAACCGGUAACCAAAGGAGCAAUUCGCUUUGGGAGGGACCUGCGUCCCAUCAGCUAGUUGGUGAGGUAAUGGCUCACCAAGGCGACGACGGGUAGGGGACCUGAGAGGGUGGCCCCCCACAAUGGAACUGAAACACGGUCCAUACACCUACGGGUGGCAGCAGUAGGGAAUAUUGCACAAUGGGCGAAAGCCUGAUGCAGCAACGCCGCGUGUGUGAUGAAGGCCUUCGGGUCGUAAAGCACUUUUCUGGGAGAUGAGAAAGGACAGUAUCCCAGGAAUAAGUCUCGGCUAACUACGUGCCAGCCGCCGCGGUAAAAC